UACGUAGGUGGCAAGCGUUGUCCGGAUUUAUUGGGUUUAAAGGGUGCGUAGGCGGCCCUGUAAGUCAGUGCUGAAAUAUCCCAGCUUAACUGGGAGGGUGGCAUUGAUACUGCGGGGCUAGAGUACAGAUGAGGUAGGCGGAAUUGACGGUGUAGCGGUAAAAUGCGUAGAUAUGCGGAGGAACACCGAUGGCGAAGGCAAUCCCCUGGACCUGUACUGACGCUCAUGCACGAAAGCGUGGGGAGCAAACAGG
rnacentral:rRNA from 1 species